AGAGUUUGAUCCUGGCUCAGAUUGAACGCUGGCGGCAUGCCUUACACAUGCAAGUCGAGCGGCAGCAUGGACUUCGGUCUGAUGGCGAGCGGCGAACGGGUGAGUAAUGUAUAGGAACAUACCCAGUAAUGGGGGAUAACGCCGAGAAAUCGGUGCUAAUACCGCAUACGCCCUGAGGGGGAAAGCGGGGGAUCUUCGGACCUCGCGUUAUUGGAUUGGCCUAUAUCUGAUUAGCUAGUUGGUGAGGUAAAGGCUCACCAAGGCUUCGAUCAGUAGCUGGUCUGAGAGGAUGAUCAGCCACACUGGAACUGAGACACGGACCAGACUCCUACGGGAGGCAGCAGUAAGGAAUAUUGGUCAAUGACGCAAGUCUGAACC
rnacentral:rRNA from 1 species